CAUCAAUAAAUUCCUUUACUAUUUAGAAAUUAUCCAUAAGUUCUGUGACUCUAGAGAACCCUGACUAAUACACCAGGUAUUCUACUUUUUUUUCCAGAGUCCUCAUCUCUUAAUACUAUCACACUGAAUUUAGAACAAUAUUCAGCCCUGAAUAGUCACCCCAAAUAUUUCAACUCUAGUACCUAUUUACAGACAAAUUGGGGUUAAUAACUCGUUCAAAAUACAACAUAUUGGAACAACCGAAAGACGCAAAAGAGUUGCUUUGCUUGUGGAUAAAUUCAUCUCCAUUUUUCUUAAUAACACAGUGAGUUGUAGUGAAUUGUCAAUUAGGGAAAAAUUGUAAAAAAUAUAGCAAUGUCCCAAAAUUUAGAUGGUGAGAAAAAAAUGGAGACAUGAAAGUAAAAAGGAAUAAAAGAAAGAAGAAAAAGAAAAAGAAAAGAAAAGAAAAGAAAGAAAGAGAAGAGACGAGACGAGAUGAGAUGAGACAAGAAAGAAGAGAAGAGAAGAGAAGAGAAGAGAAGAGAAGAGAAGAGAAGAGAAAAGGAAAGGAAAGGAAAGGAAAGAAAAGAAAAGAAAAGAAAAGAAAAGAAAAGAAAAGAAAAGAAAAGAAAAGAAAAGAAAAGAGAAGAAAAGCAAAGCAGAUAUUGGUGGAAUGUUUAACGAUUGAUCUGUUGAGGUUGGAAGAAAUCAGACAUGAGUCAUUUCUGACAGUGUGGUGCCAUUUUAUUCUCUAUAUUUCUGGAGGUGAUUAUGUCUGAUCAUCUACAUUAACCAUGUUGAAGGAGUCUUCAUUGCCCCUUGGGACAAAGUACCAAAAGAAAACUCCUGAAGAAAUGAGGGAGUCUGAGAUGCUUCAGAGAAGCAGGAGAGAAAACAAUUAAAGGAAGAAGUUCAUCAAAGCAUGACCACACCCAAUUGUUAUGCAAAUAUUGUCCCUGCUGCCUUACCACAACAAUGUCAGACUGGAAUAACCAUAAUAAACCCCA
rnacentral:lncRNA from 1 species